UGAGACUACUGUAGAAUGUCUACAACUGAAGCCACAUAGGUAGAUUAUGGUAAAGGACUCUCUUAGCAGAUCCCUAUAAUGAUCCCAAGACUCAUACAUUGAUUCUCCAUCUAUAUGUGCGAAUGUGGUGAUGUCAUUCCUCAACUAAAUGUCUUUGAAGUGAGAAAGUACUUGGCUAGAAAGUGUUAGCCAUGUCCUCCCAAGUAGUGAUGGAACUAACUGG
rnacentral:lncRNA from 1 species